AAAAAGGGAAGAAGGAAAUCAAAAGAGGGGAUCUCUAGGAUCUCUCUCUUUUUCUGGGGGAGGAAGAGAGGACUCCCUUUUCUCUUGAUUUUUUCUGGGGCGGUUUGAGAGGACACCCAUGGGGAGCGAGUCUUGCGAGUGUGAUCACCAAAACACUACCAGGGAAGAGAGAAAGAACUGGGAGAGGAUGUGCAGAUAGUCCUGACGAGCAGCCUUACGAGCUUAUUGGUUUCUCCCCAUUAGUCGACCCAAAAAUAAAGAGAAGAAAGGACAAAUGGAAGGAAGGGAUUAGAAAUUAAUUAGGAGCAGAGAGAAGGGAGUUGAAGAUAUUCGUAUCCUUCUCGCUUGGGAUGUCAACCUGCAUAAUGACUUGCAGUGGUGAUAGGAGUUUAUUGGUGAUGAACUACGAAUGGCUUGAUCCCUAUUGA
rnacentral:sRNA from 1 species